UACGUAGGGUGCAAGCGUUAAUCGGAAUUACUGGGCGUAAAGCGUGCGCAGGCGGUUUUGUAGGUCUGUCGUGAAAUCCCCGGGCUCAACCUGGGAACUGCACUUGUGACUGCACGGCUGGAGUGCGGCAGAGGGGGAUGGAAUUCCGCGUGUAGCAGUGAAAUGCGUAGAUAUGCGGAGGAACACCGAUGGCGAAGGCAAUCCCCUGGGCCUGCACUGACGCUCAUGCACGAAAGCGUGGGAGCAACAGG
rnacentral:rRNA from 1 species